GAUGAACGCUGGCGGCGUGCUUAACACAUGCAAGUCGAACGAUUAAAGCCCCUUCGGGGGUGUAUAGAGUGGCGAACGGGUGAGUAACACGUGGGCAACUUGCCCCUCACUUCGGGAUAACUCAGGGAAACCUGAGCUAAUACCGGAUACUCCGGGAUGGUCGCAUGGCCGACCCGGGAAAGUUCCGGCGGUGAGGGAUGGGCCCGCGGCCCAUUAGCUUGUUGGUGAGGUAAUGGCUCACCAAGGCGACGAUGGGUAGCCGAGCUGAGAGGCUGAUCGGCCACACUGGGACUGAGACACGGCCCAGACUCCUACGGGAGGCAGCAGUGGGGAAUCUUGCGCAAUGGGCGAAAGCCUGACGCAGCAACGCCGCGUGCGGGAUGAAGGCCUUCGGGUUGUAAACCGCUUUCAGCAGGGACGAAAAUGACUGUACCUGCAGAAGAAGCCCCGGCUAACUACGUGCCAGCAGCCGCGGUAAUACGUAGGGGGCAAGCGUUAUCCGGAUUCAUUGGGCGUAAAGAGCGCGUAGGCGGCUUGUUAAGCGAGAUGUGAAAACCGGGGGCUUAACCCGCGGCCUGCAUCUCGAACUGGCAGGCUUGAGUCUGGUAGAGGAAAGUGGAAUUCCCAGUGUAGCGGUGAAAUGCGCAGAUAUUGGGAGGAACACCAGUGGCGAAGGCGGCUUUCUGGGCCACGACUGACGCUGAGGCGCGAAAGCUAGGGGAGCGAACAGGAUUAGAUACCCUGGUAGUCCUAGCCGUAAACGAUGGGCACUAGGUGUGGGGGGUUAUCAACUCCCUCCGUGCCGCAGCUAACGCAUUAAGUGCCCCGCCUGGGGAGUACGGCCGCAAGGCUAA
rnacentral:rRNA from 1 species